CAGCCGCCGCGGUAAUACGAAGGGUGCAAGCGUUACUCGGAAUUACUGGGCGUAAAGCGUGCGUAGGUGGUGGUUUAAGUCCGUUGUGAAAGCCCUGGGCUCAACCUGGGAAUUGCAGUGGAUACUGGGUCACUAGAGUGUGGUAGAGGAUAGUGGAAUUUCCGGUGUAGCAGUGAAAUGCGUAGAGAUCGGAAGGAACAUCUGUGGCGAAGGCGACUAUCUGGGCCAACACUGACACCGAGGCACGAAAGCGUGGGGAGCAAACAGAAUUAGAGACCCCUGUAGUCCCUGUCUCUUAUAC
rnacentral:rRNA from 1 species